GUCCUAUUAGCUCAGUUGGUUAGAGCGUCGUACUAAUAAUGUGAAGGUUGCAGGUUCAAAACCUGCACGGGCCA